rnacentral:rRNA from 1 species
AUUGAACGCUGGCGGCAUGCUUUACACAUGCAAGUCGAACGGUAACAGGCUAAGCUGACGAGUGGCGAACGGGUGAGUAAUGCAUCGGAACGUGCCCGAUCGUGGGGGAUAACGCAGCGAAAGCUGCGCUAAUACCGCAUACGAUCUGAGGAUGAAAGCGGGGGACCGUAAGGCCUCGCGCGAUCGGAGCGGCCGAUGUCAGAUUAGGUAGUUGGUGGGGUAAAGGCUCACCAAGACGACGAUCUGUAGCUGGUCUGAGAGGACGACCAGCCACACUGGGACUGAGACACGGCCCAGACUCCUACGGGAGGCAGCAGUGGGGAAUUUUGGACGAUGGGCGAAAGCCUGAUCCAGCAAUGCCGCGUGCAGGAAGAAGGCCUUCGGGUUGUAAACUGCUUUUGUACGGAGCGAAAAGGCUCUCUCUAAUACAGGGGGCUCAUGACGGUACCGUAAGAAUAAGCACCGGCUAACUACGUGCCAGCAGCCGCCGUAA